rnacentral:rRNA from 1 species
UACAGAGGUCCCAAGCGUUGUUCGGAUUCAUUGGGCGUAAAGGGUGCGUAGGUGGCGCCGUAAGUCGGGUGUGAAAUUUCGGAGCUUAACUCCGAAACUGCAUUCGAUACUGCGGUGCUUGAGGACUGGAGAGGAGACUGGAAUUCAUGGUGUAGCAGUGAAAUGCGUAGAGAUCAUGAGGAAGACCAGUGGCGAAGGCGGGUCUCUGGACAGUUCCUGACACUGAGGCACGAAGGCCAGGGGAGCAAACGGU